AGUGAACGCUGGCGGUAGGCCUAACACAUGCAAGUCGAACGGCAGCACAGUAAGAGCUUGCUCUUACGGGUGGCGAGUCGCGGACGGGUGAGGAAUACAUCGGAAUCUACUUUUUCGUGGGGGUUAACGUAGGGAAACUUACGCUAAUGCCGCAUACGACCUACGGGUGAAAGCAGGGGAUCUUCGGACCUUGCGCGAUUGAAUGAGCCGAUGUCGGAUUAGCUAGUUGGCGGGGUAAAGGCCCACCAAGGCGACGAUCCGUAGCUGGUGUGAGAGGAUGGUAGGCCACCCUGGAGCUGAGACAGGGUCCAGAGUCCUACGGGAGGCCGCAGACGGCAAUAUUGGGCAGAGGGGGCAAGCCUUAUCCAGCGAUAGCGCGCGUGUGAAGGAGGCCCUCGGGUUGUGAAGCCGGUUUGUUGGGAAAGAACAGCAGCAGGUUAAUACCCCGCUGUUCUGACGGUACCCAAAGAAUAAGCACCGGCUAACUUCGUG
rnacentral:rRNA from 1 species